UGAUGUCUCACGUUGGGUGGAUCU
rnacentral:piRNA from 1 species